CCUACGGGCGGCAGCAGUCGAGAAUCAUUCACAAUGGGGGAAACCCUGAUGGUGCGACGCCGCGUGGGGGAAUGAAGGUCUUCGGAUUGUAAACCCCUGUCAUGUGGGAGCAAAUUAAAAAGAUAGUACCACAAGAGGAAGAGACGGCUAACUCUGUGCCAGCAGCCGGGGGAAUACAGAGGUCUCAAGCGUUGUUCGGAAUCACUGGGCGUAAAGCGUGCGUAGGCUGUUUCGUAAGUCGUGUGUGAAAGGCGCGGGCUCAACCCGCGGACGGCACAUGAUACUGCGAGACUAGAGUAAUGGAGGGGGAACCGGAAUUCUCGGUGUAGCAGUGAAAUGCGUAGAUAUCGAGAGGAACACUCGUGGCGAAGGCGGGUUCCUGGACAUUAACUGACGCUGAGGCACGAAGGCCAGGGGAGCGAAAGGGAUUAGAUACCCCUAGCAGUC
rnacentral:rRNA from 1 species